rnacentral:lncRNA from 1 species
UGCAUUUUGUAGCUAAGUUUUUGUUCAAGUUUGUGACAAAUUUCCUUAGUGAAAUUCCUAGAAAUUACUGGGUUAAAGGGAAUGAUUUUUUUUUUUUUUGUAUUUCAAGAUUUUUUAUAUGUCUUAGCAAAUCUUUCUUACAGAAAAGUUUACUCAUUUAUACACUCAGUAAGGGUGUGUGUUUCUCAUUUAAAAAAUCAUAUAUUUUUCUUUUUUAGGCUUUGAAAUUUCUGAAAACCAGAAGAGGCAGGCUGCAAUGACUGUGAGAAAAGUCCCUAAGCAAAAAGGUGUCAACUCUGCCCGCUCAGUUCCUCCUUCCUACCCACCACCGCAGGACCCGUUAAACCACGGCCAGUACCUGGUCCCCGACGGCAUCGCUCAGUCGCAGGUCUUUGAGUUCACCGAACCCAAGCGCAGCCAGUCACCAUUCUGGCAAAACUUCAGCAGGUUAACCCCCUUCAAAAAAUGAUACCUACAGGGAGGCAGAUAAUUUUAAAAUAAAGUAAAUAAAAUUA